rnacentral:lncRNA from 1 species
GUGAAAAUAGGGCCAGCAGUAUCUAGCAGACUGGUCCUGGCCAGGAGAAGGGGUUAAGGAAGCCACUCAUUCUUCGCCUGGGUACACUUCAAAGAGGGGAACCAGAUCCUACGGGAAGCUAGGUGCCAGAACUCCUGCCUUUCCAAGACGAGCUCAUCCCCAUCAUCACCAUACCCAGGAAUACUUGUUCAUAGCCAGCUCAGAGGUGCACCAUACUUUAGCUUCCCACGGCCUUCACUCGUUUUCUCCUGUGGGUGAAUUCUAACUAGGCUCGCCUGUCACCAAAGAUGGAAACAGAGAAUAGAUCUUGAACACCAGGAAGACGGUGACGAGGUGAUAGAGAAACAGAUGGCACAUUCAAACAAGAGGAUAUUCCUUGCAUCUGAACAUAAAAGUAGAGAAAGAGAGAGGAUCAGGAAGCCAGGAGAGAAUAUACACGAAUUUAAACUUUAUUGGUAAUGGAGGGGGUGAAAGAAUCUUUGAGUCAGGCCAUAGCCAUGAGGAAGAAAAACUAUGGAAUCUUUGUUUUUAUGCAUUGCUAUACCUCAAGUACUUAGAACAGCACUGACUACAUAGUAUGUACUCAAUAAACAUUUGUUGACUAAUC